rnacentral:rRNA from 1 species
GAUGAACGCUGGCGGCGUGCUUAACACAUGCAAGUCGAACGAAGCACUUUAUUACAAUUUCUUCGGAAUGACGAUUUAGUGACUGAGUGGCGGACGGGUGAGUAACGCGUGGGUAACCUGCCUUAUACAGGGGGAUAACAGUUAGAAAUGACUGCUAAUACCGCAUAAGCGCACAGGGUUGCAUGAUCUGGUGUGAAAAACUCCGGUGGUAUAAGAUGGACCCGCGUCUGAUUAGCUGGUUGGUGAGGUAACGGCCCACCAAGGCGACGAUCAGUAGCCGGCUUGAGAGAGUGAACGGCCACAUUGGGACUGAGACACGGCCCAAACUCCUACGGGAGGCAGCAGUGGGGAAUAUUGCACAAUGGGGGAAACCCUGAUGCAGCGACGCCGCGUGAGUGAAGAAGUAUUUCGGUAUGUAAAGCUCUAUCAGCAGGGAAGAUAAUGACGGUACCUGACUAAGAAGCCCCGGCUAACUACGUGCCAGCAGCCG